rnacentral:ribozyme from 1 species
CAACAGCUACGAGCUUGGACCUCUACGUGGUGCUGUUGACCAUUAGCCCUCCGGUGAAGCCAACGCAAGC